rnacentral:rRNA from 1 species
ACGCUCGACACCUAGGAGGCAGCAGUGAGGAAUAUUGGUCAAUGGGCGCAGGCCUGAACCAGCCAAGUAGCGUGAAGGAUGACUGCCCUAUGGGUUGUAAACUUCUUUUAUAUGGGAAUAAAGUUUUCCACGUGUGGAAUUUUGUAUGUACCAUAUGAAUAAGGAUCGGCUAACUCCGUGCCAGCAGCCGCGGUAAUCUGAGCGGGCUGGCAAGGC